rnacentral:rRNA from 1 species
UACGUAGGUGGCGAGCGUUGUCCGGAUUUACUGGGCGUAAAGAGCGCGCAGGCGGUCGUACAAGUCGCGUGUGAAAGCCCCCGGCUCAACUGGGGAGGGUCACGCGAUACUGUUCGACUCGAAGGCAGGAGAGGGAAGCGGAAUUCCCGGUGUAGUGGUGAAAUGCGUAGAUAUCGGGAGGAACACCAGUGGCGAAGGCGGCUUCCUGGCCUGUUCUUGACGCUGAGGCGCGAAAGCUAGGGUAGCAAACGGG